CCGUGCCCGCGGGGGCCGGCGGUUCUCGCCGUCGGUGCCCGCACAAGGCCCACCCGUGUCUACUUUACCUGUUGCUUCGGCGGGCGUCCGGGCAGCGCUGCUCGCGGUGUCCGCCGAAGGUACCCUUAAACCCUGGUUAACGUGGCGGUCUCAGUCAACUGGAUAAUCAGUA
rnacentral:misc_RNA from 1 species